UGUAGUGUCUCUCUCUUUAUGUAGUGGUGUAGUGUCUCUCUCUUUAUGUAGUGUUGUGGUUGUCUCUCUCUUUAUGUAGUGGUGUGGUGUCUCUCUCUUUAUGUAGUGGUGUGGUGUCUCUCUUUAUGUAGUGGUGUGGUGUCUCUCUCUUUAUGUAGUGGUGUGGUGUCUCUCUCUUUAUGUAGUGGUGUGGUGUCUCUCUCUUUAUGUAGUGGUGUGGUGUCUCUCUCUUUAUGUAGUGGUGUGGUGUCUCUCUCUUUAUGUAGUGUUGUAGUGUCUCUCUCUUUAUGUAGUGGUAUAGUGUUGUCUCUUUAUGUAGUGGUAUAGUGUCUCUCUCUUUGUAGUGUUGUAGUGUCUCUCUCUUUAUGUAGUGGUAUAGUGUUGUCUCUUUAUGUAGUGGUAUAGUGUCUCUCUCUUUAUGUAGUGGUAUAGUGUUGUCUCUUUAUGUAGUGGUGUAGUGUCUCUCUCUUUAUGUAGUGGUAUAGUGUUGUCUCUUUAUGUAGUGGUAUAGUGUCUCUCUCUUUAUGUAGUGGUAUAGUGUCUCUCUUUAUGUAGUGUUGUAGUGUCUCUCUUUAUGUAGUGGUAUAGUGUCUCUCUUUAUGUAGUGUUGUAGUGUCUCUCUUU
ensembl:lncRNA